AUAUAUAAUUAUUUAUAUUUAUAUAAAUAUUUAAUGAAUAUAAAUAUAUAUAUAUAUAUAUAUAUAUAAUUAUUUAUUAAUAUAUAAAUAAUAUUAAAUAUAUAUAUAUUUAAUUAUAUAUAUAUAUAAAUAUUUUAUUUUAAAUAAAUAAAAUAUAACAAAAAAAAAAAAAAAAACUUGUUUUAUUAUUUAUUAUUAAUAAUUAAAAUUAAUUAAUUAAAAAAAAAAUAUUUAUAAUAUAAAAUAAUUAAUUUUAUAAAUAAUUUUUUUUGUCAUUAAAAAAUUUAAUAAAAAACUAGGAUUAGAUACCCUACUAUAAAAAGAGUAAAUAAAUAUAUUAAGUUAGUAAAUGUUGAAUCAUUAAAAUUAAACGAUAUGGCGGCUUUUUAUAUCUAGUUAGAGAUGUUUGUCGAUUAAUUUGAUAGUCCACGAUAAGAUCUACUUAAGUUUAAAUUUAUGUAUUGUUGUUUUAACUGGCUUGAAUUUAUUUGGGUUAGAGAAAUUUUAUAUAAUAAUAAUUCAAAUCAAAAUGUAGUAUAUUUAAGAUAUAAGAUGAAUAUCAAUAAAUUUAAUUUUAGAAUUAUUUAUUUUAAUAUAAAUAUGAAAGAGAAUUUAAAAGUAAAUUAAAGUAAUUUCUUUAAUUGAAGAUAGUAUUAAAAAGUGUACAAAUCGCCCGUCAAUUUCAUUAAAAUUGAAAUAAGUCGUAACAUAGUAAGAGUACCGGAAGGUGUUUUUAGAUU
rnacentral:ncRNA from 1 species